ACAGGUGCAGUUGAAUUUGAUGGAGCCACCACAUGAUGGAUACUAUGUUAGUCAACAUAGCAUGCAGGGCCUGGGACAAUUGAAUUCAAUAGCACCCAGCCAUGAUGGUUUUUUUGGCUCUCAACAAAGCAUUCACAGGCUGGUAUAGUAUCACAUUGUAUUUGUAGAGAAUUUUGGCCAUGUAAGUAUUAUUUAUGUGAUGAAACUUCCUCAAUCAUGAUUUCAUUCAUACAGGGACAAUUGGAUUUUUGUCUGACAUCAAAUUUCAGUUAUAGCCUUCAGGAUCAGCCCCAUUUAAGAUCUGCACAGUUGCACGAUCACGAUAGUGCUUCAAGGCAUGCAUGAGGAAGAACAAGAUCCCUAGAAUGUCAGUUGCCCUGUGGUGGCGACUAAAUUUAUAUCCACUGUCAUGCUGGGUAAUCAGAAAGGUGAGGAAGUGGUUCCAGAAACUCUUUUUGCCUUGGUUUCUGCAUCUGGAAGAACAUUCGUACUCAAAAGAGUUGAUGCGAUAAUUUCCAGGUUAAAGGUAAGAGCUCCUGUCUACAUGGGAUUACCUUGCAGAAUUAAGGCUGGUUAUAUUAAUCCUGCAGAACAGACAAAAGCAUAGAAAAAUAAUCAGAUUUUUUUGCAUCAUGGUUUAGCUAGUAUAGGUAUCAAAUGCUUGCAAGCCAUGAGAAGAAUCGAAGUGGCUGACGGGUUGAAAAGAUUUCGAUAUGGCCCUGUGGAACAAUAUAAAGAAUGCAAUUUUUCUUGCACAUCAUUCUUCAUAGAAUCAAUGGAAGAGACUCUUCCUCUGUAAAUGCUCUUUGUAUCAUUACUUAAAUUGAUAUAGAGUUGUGGGUUAGAUCUGUUCCGCUGAAUGUGUAUGCUUAUUGCGUAUGUAUGUAUGUGGUGGCACGGGCGUAAAAGAGUCCAAAAGUUGGAAGUAUUGAAUGUUUGAUUUGAUGUGUUUAAUUAAUGAGUCGGAUUAUAUAUAGUUUAUUCAUAGACAA